AAUUAAAAAUAACAGCAAACAAUAAUUAAACUAUGUGGUGGCUCACAACAUCACAUGCCAACAGUAUUUAUAAACUACAUAUUUGAUCUUUUAAAACCUUCUUCUAGUAGUAGUUUUCGAAGCCGUGGUUGUUGCUGUCUUCUUCGCCGGUUUUUUCUUUGCCUUUUGUGCUUUUGUCAGAGUACCCAUAACAAACUCUGGAUUUUUCUGCUUGAGAGCGCGUUCAAU
rnacentral:sRNA from 14 species